GGCUAACUAAGUCAGGAGAGCAUCAGACUUUUAAUCUGAGGGUGCAGGGUUCAAGCCCCUGGUCAGCCU
rnacentral:tRNA from 1 species